rnacentral:rRNA from 1 species
CCUACGGGUGGCAGCAGUGGGGAAUAUUGGACAAUGGGCGAAAGCCUGAUCCAGCCAUGCCGCGUGUGUGAAGAAGGCCUUCGGGUUGUAAAGCACUUUCAGUGGGGAAGAAAGCCUUGGGGCUAAUACCCUCGAGGAAGGACAUCACCCACAGAAGAAGCACCGGCUAACUCCGUGCCAGCAGCCGCGGUAAUACGGAGGGUGCGAGCGUUAAUCGGAAUUACUGGGCGUAAAGCGCGCGUAGGCGGUCUGAUAAGCCGGUUGUGAAAGCCCCGGGCUCAACCUGGGAACGGCAUCCGGAACUGUCGGGCUAGAGUGCAGGAGAGGAAGGUAGAAUUCCCGGUGUAGCGGUGAACUGCGUAGAGAUCGGGAGGAAUACCAGUGGCGAAGGCGGCCUUCUGGACUGACACUGACGCUGAGGUGCGAAAGCGUGGGUAGCAAACAGGAUUAGAUACCCGAGUAGUC